AGUACAAUCCUGAUAUUAUAAGAGAAACUGCAGAUGGCUCAUUAGAUCAGUUAUGGUUUAUUGGAGUUCGUAAAAAUGCCAUGGAUAACUGUGGUAAUUCUAGAGCUAAUACAUGCAAUCAAGCGCUGACCCUUCGGGGAAAGCGUGCUUUUAUUAGGAACAAGACCAGCCCGGAGGGUUUUCCUUUCGGUCUCCGCUGGUGAACUCUAGAUAACAAUGCCGAUCGCACGGUCUCGCACCGGCGACGCUUCCUUCAAAAGUCUGCUCUAUCAACUGUCGAUGGUACGUUAUGCGCUUAUCAUGGUAAUGACGGGUAACGGAGAAUCAGGGUUCGAUUCCGGAGAGGGAGCCUGAGAAACGGCUACCACAUCCAAGGAAGGCAGCAGGCACGCAAAUUACCCACUCCUGACACGGGGAGGUAGUGACAAAAAAUAACGAUACAGGCCUCUUCGGAGGCCCUGUGAUCGGAAUGAGUACACUUUAAAUCCUUUAACGAGGAUCUACUGGAGGGCAAGUCUGGUGCCAGCAGCCGCGGUAAUUCCAGCUCCAGCAGCGUAUAUUAAAUCUGCUGCAGUUAAAAAGCUCGUAGUCGGAUCUCUGGCCGGGGCGGGCGGUCCGCCGUGAGGCGAGCACUGCCCGUUUCUCCUCGUCUGUAACGGGUGAGGUAGAAUUUCCCGGCCAGUCAUCCGGUUGAUCGUGCGGUGCUCUUAACUGAGUGCCGUGCGAGACUGGAACGUUUACUUUGAGAAAAUUGGAGUGUUCAAAGCAGGCCAAAGUGCCCGAACAGCUCAGCAUGGAAUAAUGGAACAGGACCUCGGUUCUAUUUCGUUGGUCUAAGGGACCGGAGGUAAUGAUCAAGAGGGACUGCCGGGGGCAUUCGUAUUGCGGCGUGAGAGGUGAAAUUCUUGGAUCGUCGCAAGACGCCCGACAGCGAAAGCAUUUGCCAAGAAUGUCUUCAUUGAUCAAGAACGAAAGUCGGAGGAUCGAAGGCGAUCAGAUACCGCCCUAGUUCCGACCAUAAACGAUACCAACUCGCAAUCCGCCGGCGUUCCUCCCAUGACGCGGCGGGCAGCCCCCGGGAAACCAAAGUCUUUGGGUUCCGGGGGAAGUAUGGUUGCAAAGCUGAAACUUAAAGGAAUUGACGGAAGGGCACCACCAGGAGUGGAGCCUGCGGCUUAAUUUGACUCAACACGGGGAAACCUACCCGGCCCGGACACAGUAAGGAUUGACAGAUUGAGAGCUCUUUCUUGAUUUUGUGGAUGGUGGUGCAUGGCCGUUCUUAGUUGGUGGAGCGAUUUGUCUGGUUAAUUCCGAUAACGAACGAGACUCUGGCUUGCUAAAUAGUCUGGCUACCCGUCGCGGUAAGCCAUGAACUUCUUAGAGGGACAAAUGGCUCUCAGCCAUACGAAAUAGAGCAAUAACAGGUCUGUGAUGCCCUUAGAUGUUCGGGGCCGCACGCGCGCUACACUGGAGGAAGCAGCGGGUACAAUACCCUCGGCCGACAGGUCCGGGUAAUCCGAUGAGACUUCUCCGUGAUGGGGACAGGGACUUGUAAUUAUGUCCCUUGAACGAGGAAUUCCAAGUAAACGCGAGUCAUCAGCUCGCAUUGAUUACGUCCCUGCCCUUUGUACACACCGCCCGUCGCUACUACCGAUCGAAUGGCUUAGUGAGGCCAUCGGAUCGUCCGUCUGGCAUCCCGGCUUCGGCCGGUGUCAAGGCGUGACGAAAAGACGGUCAAACUUGAUCAUUUAGAGGAAGUAAAAGUCGUAACAAGGUUUCCGUAGGUG
rnacentral:rRNA from 1 species